UCUGUAAUUGCAAGGUGUGCUUACAAGGGGAUAAUAUGAUAAAGGUAAGAAUACGGGAGAUACCUGUCUUAGAUAAGUUGCAAUAUCUCUACUGUCUUUUACCUUCAGUGCUUCCCGUAGUUAAGCAGAUCCAUCAUGAACAAUGUUCUGAAGUAGAACUGGAGAAAAAACUUCGUGGUAUGAAGAUUCUGAUUUUCCUUUGGCAUCUGGUGUUCAAGGGCAUGUUCACUUGUGGAAAACUGGGGUAGUUUUAUGUAAAAAUUUUCUAAGAAAAUUGGAAAACAGAGUUUAGUGUUUGUAUGUGCCAGUUUUCCAAACGUAGAAGUUUCCCAAUUCUCCAAAAUUUAACUAAGAUUUGGAAACUGUUUUCCUUUAUAAUAAAGAUUCUGUUUUCCAACCAUUUUACAAAUGGAAAACCAUGACUUUUUUUAAUACCAAAAUUAUGCUAUAACUUUUUAAUUUCUAAAAUUGAAUGGUUGUUUAGAAAAAUAUUUAUUUACAAUG
rnacentral:misc_RNA from 1 species